CACGUAGGGUGCGAGCGUUGUCCGGAAUUAUUGGGCGUAAAGAGCUCGUAGGCGGUGUGUCGCGUCGGCCGUGAAAACCUGCAGCUUAACUGUGGGCUUGCGGUCGAUACGGGCAUCACUGGAGUUCGGCAGGGGAGACUGGAAUUCCUGGUGUAGCGGUGAAAUGCGCAGAUAUCAGGAAGAACACCCGUGGCGAAGGCGGCUCUCUGGGAAUGACCUGACGCUGAGGAGCGAAAGUGUGGGGAGCGAACAGG
rnacentral:rRNA from 1 species